rnacentral:rRNA from 1 species
GACGAACGCUGGCGGUAUGCUUAAGACAUGCAAGUCGAACGAGCGAUGUUUUAGCUUGCUAGAACAAAGCGAGUGGCGGACGGGUGAGUAACACGUGAGCAACCUGCCUCUUUCAUCGGGAUACCAAUUGGAAACGAUUGUUAAUACCGAAUAUGACCACAGCACGGCAUCGUGCAGGGGUGAAAGGGUUUACUGGAAAGAGAUGGGCUCGCGUCUGAUUAGCUAGUUGGUGGGGUAACGGCCUACCAAGGCGAUGAUCAGUAGCCGACCUGAGAGGGUGAUCGGCCACAUUGGGACUGAGAACGGCCCAG